CUUACAUGGGCCAAGAAGGGUACCCCAUGCUUUCAGGAUCCUGCUGUGUCCUUUCUCUAGCUCUGCACCACCCUAUGUUUCUGCUUUCUAGAACCGGUUUCAACCACCCAGUGCCCCAGAGUUCCCUACCCAAACAUCCCCAAACUCCCUUCCAGGCCUGCACUGGACUUUUCCCCAAGUCCGUACUCUUAAAGGCCAGAAUGUGCUGAUAGUGUGUGUACCCUAGGCCCAAGCUUUGGGGUGAUGUUGGGGAGGGUGAGUGGAGCUUAGAUUAAGUGGUCCAUACAUCUAUACCCAAAAGCGUUUGUUGAAUUGGAGAAAGCCAGGGAGCAGAGAGCAGUGGAGCGGGCUGGCAUAUUCUACAGCAGUAAGUUCCAGCAUGGAAAAAUCCAAGGAGCCUGAAAAUUCUAAAUCUGAGCUUGGCCUUCAGGUGUGCUUCCAUUUAUGCUCUUGCCUUGGGCUGCAGAAAUGUUAGGGCAGGCCUGGAAGCAAGGCACAGAGAUGGUUCUGAGCCGACAGAAGAGAGACAGAAAGGUCCAGAGGUGUAAUUUGGGAAUCCAAUCACAAGCAGGCAUAAGGCAGCCAAGAAGGAUGAGCCGGUGAUCUCUGCAGUCUGCCCAUAACUCCACACAAAACUUUACCCAUUGUCACAGGAGAGUAUAAGCAUAGCAUAAAGAUCCUCGUAGAUGGACUUUCAGCUCCAUGCUUAAAGCAACUGACAAGAAUCCAUUUCUUUUCAGUGUACAAGUGAAGGGUAAAAGACAGAGAAGGAAGAUAGAGCAUAGGAAAAAGAGUGGGGUGAUAUUUGUCCAUUCAUUUGUUGAAGAAAUGGUUAAAUAAAGGAAUGAAUGACUAAAGACCAGGUUGGCAGGUGAAAGCCAGGGCAGGGGCCUGGGGCAGCAGGCAGAGACACAGCUCUCACAAAUGCAAGAGGAAGACGAAUCAGGCACUCGUCUGUUCUUCAAAGGAUACAGAAUGGUUUUAUUGACCACCUGUACAUGUGAUGGCUUUCAUCCUGGAGGAGAAGGGCAUAUCCACACCUACCGAAUAUCUGUUUCACAGGCAAUGUGCCAAUUAUUUACAUGCAUAAUCUCAGUAAAUCCUUAGACAACUCUGUGGAGGCAUUUACUGAUAUCUCCAUUUUACCCAGGAGGACACUGAGGUCCAGAGAGAUUAAACCAUUUGUCUGAGGUCACACGGCCAGUGAAAUUUUGAUGCAGGAUUUAAAUCCAAGUCUGUCUCUUACCACUGUAUCAUGCUGUUUUCAGAGGUGAGGGGAGGUGUC
rnacentral:lncRNA from 1 species